AUGAAACCAUCAGAACUGCUCUUCACCUCAACUAUAUUGAAAAACAGAUGAAACACAUAAAUAGAUUAUAUGUUAUUUUGCAUAUACUUCAUAUGUUAAAUCACAGAAAAUUUAAAAACCACCAAAAUUAUAGUAUAUUGCUUGCAACAUCCAGCUGUGAUAUUUUAAGCAAAAUAUUAGCAAACAUAUGAGGAACUUUAACUAUUGUAAAAUGGAAAUGAAACUGACUUCACAAAGAUGAGACAUCUAUUUCGAUGCCAAAAAUUAGUCUGAAAAUUUGUUUCUAUUAACCAAUCUUAUAGUAUUUUAACAACUAGCUUGCAUAAAGAGGAAAUCAAAAGAAUAAAAUUUUCAUGUUUUGUUUCCAGCUUUUUCCCACAAAAGUAAAUCAACAAUAAAUCUAUGCUCUCAAACUGUUGCAAAUAUUUUAAUUAACCUCAUCAUCAUUCGUGCUCUCUGCAAUUCUCUGAACUUACAGGGAGAGAAUGCUUGCACUUCUCCAACAUGCUCAUUAUCAAAUCUUCCUGCAAUUACACAUGAAUUCGUAUUGAUUGCUAUUAUAUUAUUAAUAAGUACUCUUUACUUUCCACAAAGCUAGUAAAACACAAUGUACCAUUCACUGAAGAAUAAUGUAUUAAUAGCAUGCAUUGAUUAAUGGAGGGAAGGAAGGACCACAUCAAGAGUAGAGGAAUGAAGUCUGAAACUUGUCUACCUUUCCUGAAGACCACCAAUUUCUUGUUUAAUUUAAGUGACUAAAUAAUAAAUAUGGUUGGCACACCUUCCUAGAGAACUGCCUGUAUCCAGAAUAGUCAUAUCUGCACAAAAGUACAUGCACGCAUAAAAAAACUGUCAUUCCCCUACUUAACUGCAUACUGCAUAUGUCCUAUGCAAAUAUAAAAAUACUAGUUUGGUGAUGCAAAUUUAAGAAAAGCGUUGAGUAUGUGCAUCAAUAUCAAUGGAUCUUGAUUGACCAAUUGAAAGCUCUACUCCAAUAGUUGUCUAUUAUGUUACAGAAGACAGGACUAGAGAUAAUUCUACUCAAUGGCCUAAUCCAUGACGGAUAUAUCCAUUAGUUUCCUACCACUAAGGUUCAGCCUUCCAACAUUUAAGAGGAGUGGUUGUAUAUUUGAAGCAUAUUCCUAAAACUCUCGUUUGAUAGAGCUUAAAUAUAUUUGCAGACAAGAAGCAAAUAGGGAACUAUAAUAGGAUGAAUUGCAAGGUUUUAUAGUUAAUAUUGAAAUUUGUGUCAGUGUUGUUGCCCAAAUCUAAUAAAGAAAUUAUGAGACUUACACAAUCCUUAUAUAGCACCUCCUCAAGAAAGUUAUCAAUCCCUAGUUAGGGAUUCAGAAUAAGAAUUUGCUGAAGCAUAAGAUCCAAUCUAAAUCAAAAUAUAAUUAUGAUAAUAAACUGAAACUACACAUAAAUAUUUGUGAUGUUUUGAAGGAAGGUUCUCAAAGAAUUCAUGUCAAGCAAGGAAUUUCUUGAAACUAGUGUUGGGAAUAUUGAGAAAAUCAGAGACCCACUAAACAGUGAUAUUAGCAAAUGAAAAUCUUAUUAAAAGUAAAGGAAAUCUAAAACUAAUACCUUCAGGUCAAACUAAAUUAAAAUUAUAUCUUCCUCUUUUGCUCCACUUUUUGCUUCUUUUUUCUAAUUAAUUCAGAAGAAUGGCGUGUAGAAUGUAUUCAUGAUAAUUGAAUUAAAUUAGCUUUAUAUGGAAGAGGGCGCGAAGAUUUUAAGGACUGAGUUCACAGUUGUGCAGAUUAUAUAACAAAUUCUCGAAAUACAGGGAACAAUUAUAUUAUAUGAAAUUCAAACAUAAAUAAAUAUAAAUACUGAAUUGAAGCCCAAAUGUACCCACCAACUUAGCCUGCAAUUGAGAUAAAAACAUAUCCCAUAGGAAGUGCUAACGGACUUGGCAAUUGGGGGAAGGGGAUUCACAAAUUAAGGGCCAUCGACCUGAGAGAUGCGUCAAUAAUUGAAGAGAAGGCAUGAAUUGAUGAAGAAAAGGUCACUAGAGAGCGAAGAUACAUACAUGUGUGAAACAACACAAACCCUAACUUAAGCUAUUCGUGGUAGGAGGUAUCGUGAUGGCGGGCGGGCGGGCGGGCAGGCAAGUGAUAGAUUUUAGGGCUUGGUGAGAUUUAGCAGACUUGAGAGAGAGUUUUUGGGAGCGUGAAAAUAAUGGAGAGAUAUUUUGGCAGAUAAUUUCUAUUUGGCUUGCUCAAACUCUAGCUUUAAUUCGUAGAAUGAAGAUCAAAAAACCAAAACAAUUGACGUAAGAGUGGAGGCGGAGACGCGGAGAGACCGGAGACGGAGACGGAGACGGGAAUUGGGGUGUUGGGUUAGGGAAGGCAGAGAGUGAUGCGAUUUGGUGCUCUGUACUUUUUUAACUUUUAAACAUUUGUACCUGUUAAUUAAAU
rnacentral:lncRNA from 1 species